CAUGCCUUACAGACACCAAACUGGAUAUCCGGUUCAAACCACGCAGACGACAUUCAGUACGUGUUCGGGUAUCCGCUUUACGCCGGACCGCGCAGUACCGGAAACUACACGGAGGAGGAACGACGACUUGCCAGGGGAAUGGUUACCAUGUGGACGAACUUUGCCAAGUCAGGGGAUCCAAACAAACCGGAAGAUGCCCGUCAGUUCACCAACGCCACUUGGGCCGAGUAUGACCUUGACUUUCAGAGCUUCCUACAGUUCACCAAUCAGGGAGCACUUCCGGGGUCCCAAUUCCAAGCGCGCCGGAUGUAGCUGUGGUCAGACCUCCUGCCCACUUCUUCCAAGGGAUUCCAAGGGAUUCUAUGGAUAGCUCAGCUUUCUUUUGAUGUACACAGGAAUUAACGAGUACAUAUGUUUGUACAAAAUGAUAGUCACAACACGAUAGCUUUCAUUACAAAUUUACGUCAUAAACGUUAUACAGACAAACUAAAAUUUCAAAUGAAAAAAUGAUAUAGUAAAGGCAGCAAAACUAUUAUAUAUUCGAACUAAUAGGUUAAUACAAGACUUUACCUGUGCAAAUAUUGUCGAUUUUAUAAAAAGAGAUCGGUGCAAACCGACGGUAACUUUCCGACUUAUGUUAACCUGUAUACAUAUCUUUAUUACACUAUGUGAAUUUUGCAUGCUAUUUUAGAAUUUUUGAUUUAAUAAAAUGAAUGUAUACAUUU